UCCAGACUCCUACGGGAGGCAGCAGUGGGGAAUAUUGCACAAUGGGGGAAACCCUGAUGCAGCGACGCCGCGUGAGUGAAGAAGUAUCUCGGUACGUAAAGCUCUAUCAGCAGGGAAGAAAAAAAGUCCUUCGGACUUUGGACGGUACCUGAUUAAGGAGCCCCGGCUAACUACGUGCCAGCAGCCGCGGUAAUACGUAGGGGGCAAGCGUUAUCCGGAUUUACUGGGUGUAAAGGGAGCGUAGACGGCAGCGCAAGUCUGGAGUGAAAGCCCGGGGCCCAACCCCGGGACUGCCCUUGGAACUGCAUGGCUGGAGUGCGGGAGGGGCAGGCGGAAUUCCUGGUGUAGCGGUGAAAUGCGUAGAUAUCAGGAGGAACACCGGUGGCGAAGGCGGCCUGCUGGACUGCAACUGACGUUGAGGCCCGAAAGCGUGGGGAGCAAACAGGAUUAGAUACCCGUGUA
rnacentral:rRNA from 1 species